rnacentral:rRNA from 1 species
CGGCAAUUGCGGCAGCUUACACAUGCAGUCGAGCGGUAACAGGGGGAGCUUGCUCCCUGCUGACGAGCGGCGGACGGGUGAGUAAUGCUUAGGAAUCUGCCUGGUAGUGGGGGAUAGCCCGGGGAAACCCGGAUUAAUACCGCAUACGCCCUACGGGGGAAAGCAGGGGAUCUUCGGACCUUGCGCUAUUGGAUGAGCCUAAGUCGGAUUAGCUAGUUGGUAGGGUAAAGGCCUACCAAGGCGACGAUCCGUAGCUGGUCUGAGAGGAUGAUCAGCCACAUCGGGACUGAGACACGGCCCGAACUCCUACGGGAGGCAGCAGUGGGGAAUAUUGGACAAUGGGCGCAAGCCUGAUCCAGCCAUGCCGCGUGUGUGAAGAAGGCUUUCGGGUUGUAAAGCACUUUCAGUGAGGAGGAAGGCCUUAAGGUUAAUACCCUUGAGGAUUGACGUUACUCACAGAAGAAGCACCGGCUAACUCCGUGCCAGCAGCCGCGGUAAU